rnacentral:rRNA from 1 species
AUUGAACGCUGGCGGCAGGCCUAACACAUGCAAGUCGAGCGGCAGCGGGAAAGUAGCUUGCUACUUUUGCCGGCGAGCGGCGGACGGGUGAGUAAUGCCUGGGAAAUUGCCCAGUCGAGGGGGAUAACAGUUGGAAACGGCUGCUAAUACCGCAUACGCCCUGCUCCGUGAAAAGAGUGGGGGAAAGGAGGGGACCUUCGGGCCUUGCGCGAUUGGAUAUGCCCAGGUGGGAUUAGCUAGUUGGUGAGGUAAUGGCUCACCAAGGCGACGAUCCCUAGCUGGUCUGAGAGGAUGAUCAGCCACACUGGAACUGAGACACGGUCCAGACUCCUACGGGAGGCAGCAGUGGGGAAUAUUGCACAAUGGGGGAAACCCUGAUGCAGCCAUGCCGCGUGUGUGAGGAAGGCCUUCGGGUUGUAAAGCACUUUCAGCGAGGAGGAAAGGUUGGCGCCUAAUACGUGUCAGCUGUGACGUUAUUCGCAGAAGAAGCACCGGCUAACUCCGUGCCAGCCGCCGCAGUAA